rnacentral:hammerhead_ribozyme from 1 species
GCACUGCUGAGGAGUCCCAUAAUAGGACGAAAUGGCGUCCAGUGC